rnacentral:sRNA from 1 species
GCCCCACGUUGGGCGCCAAAAUAUAGUGUAGCAUACAACGCUAGGUCUAGUAAACCCCAAGAUGGUCUGAAAUGUUUGAGCUGAAAUCAGCAGCACGCAGCUAGCUUCCGGCUUCUGUCUCGUCGGCAAUGGGGAGGUUCUUUAAGGCUGAAAACUCAAACUAUGGAAUGUCUACACUAUAUUAUUUUAAAAGUGUGCGUGCGAAAGAUAGAAGAGAGGGAGAGAGAAAUAGAGAGAGGAAAGUAAAAAAAGGGGGAAUUUUCAAGAGAGGGUUUUGUCUACCACCGAUGCAGAGAUGUUCACAUCGUAAUACGCCCGCCCAUCCAUGACCAGGACUAAAACCCAAAGUUAUAUCAUAUUUAUCGAUUGGUCCCACUGUAACUACCCUUCAAAUGUUUGUAGCCCCGGAAUCACAAAACGGAAAUUUAGCUAAUAUUCUAUAUGUUGUUUAUUAAACAAAAUCCAAAAUAAUCCAUUAAAAUUCUAGAAAAAGCUAACUUGAACUUUCACAUAACCUUAAUCCUAAA